rnacentral:sRNA from 1 species
UCCAUCCCUGCAACUGAAAAGUCCGAGGUAUGGGGACGUGCUGUCGGCGGCCUGAUUCCACCCCUUCACUCACCCCCCCUCUUUCCAGGUGAAGUUAAGGCUUACCUUCGAAGUGAGGGGCAGAUGGUUUUCCUGGCAUCAGGUGGGAAGUGGAGGGCACAGGUGCAGAGCGAACUAAAUGGUCACAGAUCGACGGUAGCAUGAAGCCUUGAGAGGCGAGAGUCCUAGGAGCAGGGAUGGAAAGGAAGAAUUCCAAAUGCCUUUCGGACUUAACAGCGGAGAGACCCCAGCUUGCAGAGCGACUAGGAGUCCUGGCAGUUGGAAGGCGCAGCGCACGAGUUCGUCAAAUGGCUAUAUUGAAAGACAGCCAAGCAUAAGAUGCUCUUUGCAGACUCCUAGACCCGCCACCCCACCCCUUCCAGAAACAGAUGACAUUCUUCUACCAGGGAGACAUGAGGAGCUAACUUAGGAAAUGGGUUUUAAUAAUGUGUAAAUAUCACGAUUUCAGAGCCUAAGGAGCUUCUGUGUAAAAUGAUGAGCUUCUGUUUGGAUUUAGUUAGGGAUUCAGGGGAAGGGCAUGAAAAGUGACUUAUGCUACUAAUAAACACUCUUUAAUUAAA